UACAGGGGGUGCAAACGUUGCUCGGAAUCAUUGGGCGGUAAAGCGCACGUAGGCCGGUUCGUUAUGUCGGAUGUGAAAGCCCUUGGCUUAACCGAGGAAGUGCAUCCGAAACUGGCGAGCUAGAGUACUAAAGAGGAUCGCGGAAUUCCCGGUGUAGAGGUGAAAUUCGUAGAUAGUCGGGAGGAACACCGGGUGGCGAAGGCGGCGAUCUGGGUAGAUACUGAACGCGUGAGGUGGCGAAAGCGUGGGGAGCAAACAGG
rnacentral:rRNA from 1 species